rnacentral:rRNA from 1 species
UACGUAGGGGGCAAGCGUUGUCCGGAAUCAUUGGGCGUAAAGAGCGUGUAGGCGGCCCGAUAAGUCCGCCGUGAAAGUCCAGGGCUCAACCCUGGAAUGCCGGUGGAAACUGUCGGGCUAGAGUCCGGAAGAGGCGAGUGGAAUUCCUGGUGUAGCGGUGAAAUGCGCAGAUAUCAGGAGGAACACCAAUGGCGAAGGCAGCUCGCUGGGACGGUACUGACACUGAGGUGCGAAAGCAUGGGGAGCAAACAGG